UACAGUAGUAGGUCCUUGUUGUUUAUUUUAGGGGGAUUUUGAUCAAAUGUAUUGAUUAGUUCGGGAAGGCUGGCCCAUUUCUGAGCCACUCCGACCCACUUAAUCAUUUUCCCCGUUGCUUUUCACAUGAGCAACCGCUUCCAUCGUAGAUUCCGAGGUGGCGUUUGCACGCAGGUUUCCUGGGUUUCUCCAGGUUAAUUCUGGCCCUGGUCGCUUUGUUGGUGUUUCCCGUAGGUUAGAACCCCCUUGGGCCGAUGCCGGGGGAUGCUGCUGGCCCAGGAUGGCGUCCCUGGAAGCUACUGGCUUUCCUUCCUCCGCUUAACACCUCCUACGUUGCUGUCCUGCCCGCGCGUCCGCUGAGCCGCUGUCCAGUGCUGACGAGCAGCUAUGGUCUCCUCAUCCGCCCCCAGCUGUGGGGUCAGUGAUGACGCGAUUGAGGUGUCGCCCUGGGCGCGCCCCGGACUCUGGGUUCCACACGUGCUGCUUGAGACACCCGCAGGCUCCACUCAGACCCUGCGGCCACACCAGCUCCUCCCCAGCCCGUGGAGGCGUGGGCUCCGACACCUCCCGGCCCCAGAGGGCAUCUUGCUGGAGUGCAUGGGCCAUGCCCAGAGUCUGUAGCAGUGAACACCCCAGGGACCGGGAGCUGACACCCCUUCCCUGCACAAAGGCUGCUGUGAGGGCCCCAUGGAUCAGGCACAUGGGAGCCUGUCCUGGGGACCCCUGGCCCACUUCUCUCACUCUGCUCCCCAUGAGAACACAGCCCCAAAGCCUCCCUGUUGGGCUGUGCUUUCUGUGGGGCCCAGACCAAGGUGGUCCUAGAAGACGGGCCCUCAGGAGGGGGUUUUGGAGGCAGGUCUCCCACUGAGGGAGGGGCUCCCGGAGUCCGGCUGCUGGUGCGGAGUGGGGCAGUGACUUCCCCAGGCUGCAGCCACCACGUGGGGCCAAGGCUCUCUCGGGAGUGGAGGUGCAGGUGGAGGUGAGGUGCUGGGUGGCUGUGGCACUGACCGAGAAGCUUGGUGACAUCCGUGAGGACCAGGGCGGCAGCCUUCUCUGUCCGGAGAGCCUUGGGGAGAGAAGAAGGAUGUGUUGGAGUCCUACCUCCCCUGCCCCCCACGAACAUGACUCGAAUUGGAGAUAAGAGGACAUUGAAGACACGAUCAGGUGCAUGGUCCCCAGUCUCAGGGGACCGUCCUAGUGGAAAGGGACUUCUCAGAGCCUUGAACAGGCUGAAAGGGUGCGCUGGGACAAAGCCUCUCCCAGGUACCUUUGAUCAAAAACCACCUCCCUGGCCCGCAGGACUUAUUCACCAGCAGCCGAGCCCGUCUGGGAGACGUCGCAGGGUGUGGUUUUGGAACUGACUACCAGUACCUCGGGGAUGUCACGGGUUUGGUCCAGACCCCCGCAGUAAGGUCUGGAGUCCACCACGCCGUGGCUAUAAAAAGCUCAGCCCUGCGGAUCAUGAGAGAGGUCAGCGGGCCAUGGGCAAGCCACCAUUCCCUGCUCUGCAGUGUCUUCCAGAGCCUCCUGGGAGCAGCUCUCCAGUCUCGCUGUGGCUCAUCCAGCUUCCUCGUCCUGAAGGCAGGGAGGGCCCUGCUCUGUCCCCCCUCCCAGGACCCCCGACGGACCUGGGGACAUCGCACCUCGGCAUCUGUGUGAAGGACCCAGGUGGCCCAAAGUGCCAGGACAAUGGCUCUGGGGACUCUGUAAGGGACAAGCCUGCAGGACAGUGAGGACACCGAAGCCCUGGGCUGGGGGUCCCUCUAGGUCACCCUGGGGGUCACUGGAGCCUGAGCCCUGACCCUGCUUCUCCCCCUGCGGAGGGUGCGAGUGAAAGCUUCUGUACCGUUAGCUGGUCCUUCCCACCACACAGACCCGCUCAGGUCCCUGGGGACCAGAGGAGGCCCCCGGGCGGGGGUCCGGUCCCCGGGCUGGCACCGUCACAGGGGGUUGCUUUUAACAAGCAGCACGUGUGCGUCCCGGCUGGCUUCCUGUGCAUUAUGUACAUGCCCAGGGCGCUGACAUUUUCUGGCGACAGAAGAAUUUGGCCCCUUUCCUCCUGUGCCUGCCAUGGGGGUCCCCACCCUGGCGGCGAGGGUCUUGGCAUCCGAGUUUGCCAGGCAUGGCCCGGGAGGCGCGGGGCGGCCUGUGGGCGGUUCGUGUCCAGAUCUGGGUGGAAAGCAGGGGUGGGGACGGUGGCAAGGGCGGAGAGGUGCCUGGCGGAGGGGCCAUUAACCACCAGGUAACAGACUUGAUUAAUUUUGUGCCUGGAGGGUUUUUUUUCCCUUUUCCCAAAGAAUCAGAGAAAACAAAAUAUUUUUCUAAUUAAAUAAAUCUACGGUACACGCUAAUGGAGGCCGUCUGUGGGUUUGUGCCAGGGCAGGGGGAGACGGGGAAUAAUGAUUUUAUUUUUUUCAUUAAAUAGAAUUAUAGGCAGUUACUCAAAGCAACGCUGAGCCUAAUUGAAAGAAACCCAUUUCUUCUUAAUUUACUUUCACGGUUUUGGAUGAUAAAAGAGUGUGUUCGUUGGAAAAUUAAAUAAAAAACACACCACGAGGAAA